CUGGAACGUCUCAGCGCAGGUCUAAUGUGGUUACAUUUCGCCGGUCUGGUCCUUACACCCCCCUUUAAUAUAAAGCAGGUAAUGUUUCACACAUGCAAAUAUGAAAGUAACACUGAAAUAUGUGCAUGUAUGCAGAGCAUGAAAGACAGAACAUGCACAAGCAGGAGCACACAAACACACACACACACGCUUUCCCUGAUUGUGCCCUCUGACCUCGUGCUCCCCGGCUCAGCUGCAGGAGGCCUCUGUGCCCAGGGGAGAAGGUUCUGACUUGCAGAGUGGGAGGCUGAUCCUGCACAGCGUCUGGGAGCUACAGGCUGUACAUGCACACACUUUUCUGACUGUGUGCAUACAUGGUGUAAUGAUAUAAAUCAUGCAGACUUAGAUCAAAAAGAAUGAUGGUAAAUGCAGCUAACUAAGUUGUUAAAUGAACUCUGUUUCUAUUUAUUUAGAUCAAUGUUGGGGAAGUUACUCCAAAAAAGUAAUUCGUUACUUAUUACUCAUUACUUCUGAAAAAUGCAAUGAAAUUACUUUACUCAUUACUUCAUUUGAAAAGUAACUUCACUACUUAUUACUUUACUUUCCUGUUUUUUGAUCUACCGUUCAGAUACAUGCACAAACUUCAUAGCGCCAUAACUUUGUGUUUAUUGAAUAAAUGUAUACAAAAUACAUUAUACAUACAUGUAACACCAUACGAAAGAACAGUGCCUCAUAAAUUAUCAAUUUAAUUAUCUUCCUUAACCUGGGAGAUUCUAUUGUGAGCAGUGGAAGCAUUUCUUCUACGAUGAACCCUGCAGCCAGUCUUGUUAUUUCUUGAUGUGUUUACCUGCUUCUGUGCUCCGAUGGUUGAGAAAAGCUUGGCUUAUUUAGUAGGGGUCGGCUGCUGAUCAACUCCCUCGGUUUGCCGGAGAGUUUUGUACUGGCAUGAACGUUAGUCAAAUGUUUGGCGAGGUUGCUCAUAGACUUUGCAGAAGUUGAAAGCUGUCUGUCGCCGGGACAUAUGGUGCAUUUUACUCUUAUAUUUUUGUCCUUACGAGCAACAAAUUCAAAAUAGUGACUAUAUCGCCAGUUUCACCACUUAGCAAAGCGGCUCUCACUCUCCGUGUCCGUCGCCAUUUUCCCUCUUCCCGCGCAGGCGCGCACCACGCAACUCUAUCACUAUGGCAACGCUCUGGCGUCACACACAGAGGCAGGCAGCGCGUCCGCAUGCAGGCACCGCUAACGGAUCAAAACUAUUCACAUUGGCAAACAGAGCUUGGGUAACGCAGGAAAUCGCCCUACUUGUAACGCCCUACUUUACUCCGUUACCCCAAAAAGUAAUAUCGUUAUGUAAUUCAGUUACUUUGUAACGCGUUACCCCCAACACUGGCACAGAUUAAAAACAGUGCAAGGAGUGAAGGCAUAGGAUGCAAACAACAAAGUAACUAGGACAUAGACAGGUUAUAAAUAUACAAUGAGUAGGGAAAGGUCAAAACAUUUACAAAUUGUCAUAAAUAGAACAAAGACUAAUCAUCAACCAGAGAUAGAGACGAUGUAAGUGUACAUAAAAAGGAAAGAAACAUGAUCAUAACAGAUAAUGACGUGUUGAAGACAUGAUUAGAUGAUUUUCAAUGAUAUUUUAAAGGAUUUGAAGGAUAAUUUUGAUUUUAUAUUUAUAGUUUCGGUCCUCUAAAAGUGGGCGGUUCAGUGGUGUAGUGGUUAGCACUGUCGCCUCAGUGCAAGAAGGUCCUGGGUUCGAAUCCCGGUUCAGGGUGUUACUGUGUUGAGUUUGCAUGUUCUCCCCGUGUCUGUGUCUGCGUAGGUUUACUACUGGUACUCCGGCUUCCUCCCACAUCUCAAAUUGCCCGUAGUUGUGAGUGUGAGCGUUGAUGGUUGUUCGUCUCUAUAUGUCAGCCCUGCGAUGAACUGGCGACUUGUCCAGGGUGUACCCUGCCUUCGCCCAAAGUUGCUGGGAUACACUCCUGCGACCUUGCGACCCCGGGAAUGAGAAUAAGUGGUAGGAAAUGGAUGGAUGGUUGGAUAGUCCUCUAAAAGUGAUAUUAGACUGAUAACAACAAGAAGAAUAAAAGAAACCCUGAAAAAUUGGCAUUACAGCCUAAAUACUUUAAUUUUCUCUAAAUUUGAUAUCAGUGUUUUUUGGCCUUUUUGACUUUGACUUGGAAUUCAUUUUUCUUCCAUCAAGCUUCCCAACAAGGUCUGUAAAAGCUGCUAAAAAAGAAAUACUUGCAAUCAAAGAGAACAAGUUAUUGUCUCAUUUGCUCUGUAUGUGAUUCAUGUGAUUCACAGCAAAACCUCCAGACUUUUGGGAGUUCAUACACGGCUCUCAGAAGGACCCCCAGAGAGAGGAUAAAGAAGAGGCAAAGACAGCAAAAUGGAGAGACUGAGAAACAGGGGUGGGGGUGAGUGGGAUGACCUGCCUCCCAGAUCAAAGAUGAGCUCAGGUCAUAACUCAGCUCGGCAGAAUGACGUACCUCUGUCUUGUCUGACACCUUUAAAACCAGCUCCACAUGGGUAAAGGGCACGGCCUUCAUGAGCCCAGAUCCUGUCUGCUGUCACAUCCCUGGAAACAUGUCCCGGGCUCAUGCUCGGCCUUCCUGCUGUUACAUCGACCUCGUGCGUGGAAACAACCGAUCGUGAGGAUAGAAGUGAGAUGGAGAGGUGCUGAGAGAUAAAAAACAGUCAGGAGGGAGAAAAGAAAGGAAGAAACAGAGUAAAACAGAGAGAAGAGGCCAAAUGUAUGGAUGUGUGGUGAUUCACUCGUCUUUGAUCUGACACCGAGGGCUGCAGACGUGUGAGGGAAGUUAUGGAGAGAUGAUUUGUUAGAGGCCGCGAUGAGUGGAAUUUUACAGUCCAUGUGCCUGCCAGGAUCGCUUACCUUUGACUUGAACCCCUCCAAAGACUUGUGCAGCUCACCCCAAAUGAUCUUGGCAAAAGGAUCUAAGGGAAAGGGGGCCUGUGUGCAAGCGUAUGCAUAUGUCUGCUUAUGCAUGUGCGUUUCUGUAUGUGCUUUAAACCCAUGUACUGUAUGCAUUAUCACCUGGUUAUUGUGUACAUCAGUGGAUCUACUUCUGCCUUCAUGUAUAUCCAUUUGUAUGCAUGUGUGUAUUUCAGACAGUGAUACAUGAUGAAUAGAAGAUGUUCUGCAGAGGAAUCACCCAGAUGGUUCUCAUUGCAUUGGAAACAGUGUCUAUUAGCAGCAGUGCGAUCGCUUUCAGAGCUACUUAGAGCCUUGCUAUCUCCAUAAGGGCAACUUUUUCUGUGUGUACAUUCCUAACAGACCCCCAGUGAUGGAAAGUAAUAAAGUAAAUGUACUUGAGUACUGUAAAUAAGUACUUUUUUGAGUAUCUUUUUGUGGGAAACAUACUUCAUUUUCUUCAAAUUUUAGACUUUUAUGCUCCCAAGUCUUGAUCAAAAUUAUGUUUCUUUCCUAAAAUCUGAUCUGCAAGACAAACAAUUAUGUGUAUGUAUGUUUAUAUAUGUUGCAUGUCUCAAUGUCACUCAUAUCUGACACUUCAUUUGGUGGUGGUAAUGAUGGUUACAGCAGAAGGGGAUGAUAAUUUUCAACGUAAGCCUUUAUGACCAUAUCUGAAGUCCACAUUUGAGGUUUGGGAAAUAAAGAAUGAGAUCGUGUUUGAGUGUUUGCUCUGUUUGUCAUGUACAAAAUGAAUUAUUCUAAAAGAGAAUGUAAAGGUAAUAGC